rnacentral:tRNA from 1 species
GGGAAUGGAGUUCAGAGUUAGAGCACUUGCCUGCCAUGCAUGAAGCCCUGGGUUCGAUUUCCAGUACUGCCC